AGUGAACGCUGGCGGUAGGCCUAACACAUGCAAGUCGAACGGCAGCACAGUAAGAGCUUGCUCUUACGGGUGGCGAGUGGCGGGCGGGUGAGGAAUACAUCGGAAUCUACUUUUUCGUGGGGGAUAACGUAGGGAAACUUACGCUAAUACCGCAUACGACCUACGGGUGAAAGCAGGGGAUCUUCGGACCUUGCGCGAUUGAAUGAGCCGAUGUCGGAUUAGCUAGUUGGCGGGGUAAAGGCCCACCAAGGCGACGAUCCGUAGCUGGUCUGAGAGGAUGAUCAGCCACACUGGAACUGAGACACGGUCCAGACUCCUACGGGAGGCAGCAGUGGGGAAUAUGGGACAAUGGUCGCAAGCCUGAUCCAGCCAUACCGCGUGGGUGAAGAUGGCCUCCGGGUUGUAAAGCCCUUUUGUUGGGAAAGAAAAGCAGCAGGUUAAUACCCCGCUGUUCUGACGGUACCCAAAGAAUAAGCUCCGGCUAACUUCGUG
rnacentral:rRNA from 1 species